CAACCCAUCUGCCUGCAUGCUGCCAUGCUUCCCGCCAUGACGAUAAUGGACUAAACCUCUGCACUAUGUAUUGUUUCUACGUGUGUGCCUGUACGAGUUUGUAUGCGCUCAUGUGUAGGAAUCCAUGGAAGCCAGAAGAGAACACUGGAUUCCCUGGAGCUGAAGUUACAGAUCAAGAGCCAUUGUAUGGAUGCUGGGAACUGAACCUGGAUCAUCUAAUAAGAGCAGUAAGCAAUCUUAACCACUAUAACCAUCUCUCUAGCCCCAUUUUAUUCUUAAUAGAAUAUUCUUAAUAGAAGCCAUAGCCCAGAGAAUCCCAUACAGGUAGACCUUGUUUUUAAAAACAAAACAAAACUGUCUUUGUAAUCUUUGUGCAUCAUUGUGUAGCUUUCCACAAUUGGCUCUGAUCAACUUAAAAUCCGAACCAUGUGUAUGUUACCAUUUCACUGAGUCCUGGUUCCCUUAUGUAUGGAAAGCUUUGUGAAGUUUGCAUGCUUUUCUCCUAAUAAUCCAUCUUAGAUCAGUUUGCCUCUCAGACCCAGUCAGUACAGGUUCAGUGCCAACUCCUUAAUCCUUUAGGUUUUCAGUACUUCCUUUCCAGCUGUUUGGUUAUCUUUUCCUUGCUCCGUUUGCUGUUUUCCAUUUUCCUCCCCUCUAGCUGAAUAAUUUCUCAUUUUCAAUGUUUACAAAUUAAAGAUUUGAAUAAGUAGUA